UGUAUAUAUAUAUAUAUAUAUAUGAAAUGCAUAUAAGUAGCAAAGGUAUUUGAGCAUUUUUAACAAAAGAAAGACUAUUUUGAAGGAAUAAGUUUCUAUUACAGCUCUACUAAUGUGUAAGACAGUUAAAGUAACAACCUUAAUAUUUUUCAGUGUUCACAACUGUAAGUGAUCUAUUACUUAUAGCUAUGCUCUAGGUAGCUAUUAACAGAUUUUUUUAAUAGAUGCUCCAUGUAUAUGAACAGAAACACAACACUGGGUAACUGUUAAUACAAACUAUUUAUAUAAGAACAUUAUGUUCUAUAAAAUACACUAUUCGGAUUUAAACAUAUAAAAGGUAUUGAAUUUUUAUUGCAUUGUUAGAGGUGGUCAAAAUUACAGGCAUACAAUUACCAGAAAUCAUUAUUCAUCCUUAACUGUUUUCUGAUUUGGGAAGGUAAGGAAAUGUUAAACAAUUACAGGUUUAACUAGUUAAAAAUAAUCUCUUUCACUUUUGGCUCAGGAGAAAAGUAUGUCUUGCUUUUCAUUUUUGAUCAGUUAAAAUAAAAUAUAUAAUUUCUGGAAUAAUACCUUAGUGUACAUCAAUAUUUCUCAACUUUGGCAGCUUUAAGAUGCAUAGAAAUCAACUCACAGAAUUCCAUAUAAGCAUGGGAUUUGAGAUCCAACUUCUUAAAGUUGUCAAAAUUGAGAAACAUAAUUGGAACAUGAGAACAAUGAACUUGAAAUAUAAAGAAAAAUUAACAGGAAGAAU